AGAAAUGCAACAGUUUUCAAUUCCGGAGAUGGCGCUUCUUGAUCCGAGCCGUACUUGAUUUGAGAACAGUGAAUUUCAAAGGAGGAUUUGCCAAACCGGAAUGGUCAACAUCACCUUGAAAAUCUCAUUUAGGAAAGAAGAUUGUGACUCCCCCUGCAGAAGCAAAGAAACUGAAUGGCCCCUUCGUAGGUGACCACAGUGCUUCUCCGGUGUAUGGAACCAUUUCCCUGUCAGUCUUGAAAGUGUGAAUCAGCUAUUAUAAUGUUGGGUAAACAAAAGGUGGACACUCUACACCAGGCACUGAGGGUCCAGCUGGUUGGGAACAGGAAGUGGCAGCGUGGUGGCCCGCUGGAAAUGCAGGCGCACUUUCUCUCCAGUGCUCAGGCAGACCCACCCAUCGCAUUGCUGGAUGAAGCUUAGCCCUAAAUACUUUCAAGGAGGCCACAGCGAGGAGGCUGCGGCUAGAAGGGGGCCCUCACUCAUCUCUGCUGACCCUGAGCCUGGACUUCCAGCCUCCAGAACUGUGAGAAAUAAGUUUGCCUUGUUUUCCAGCUACUCAAUCUAUGUGCUAUUUUGCAACAGCGGCCUGAAUGGACUGAGACAUGAGCCAUACUUAGGAAGAGAUGAAAUGCGGUAUGUGUGUGAAAGUUCCACAGGUCUGGUGAAAGUUGGCCUCACCCUGUCUGCUGAUCUGAUGGUGUCAGUAGGUGGGGAGUUUUGCUAAGCAGUGAAGAGAAAGACUCGGGGAGCAAGAAAGAAAGGAGCUCUAAUUUAAAGUAAAGCUGCUGAGGAGGCCCUUUGGGAUUCCAGAUGUUUGGACUUGGCCUGAUUAGUGAUUGGCAAUUGGCUGCAGCCGUCUACCCAGCUUCAGGACUCUGAAGUCCGUGCCAUCUGUGCACUGCUGACAUUCAGCCGCUUGCUCGGAAGGUGGGGAUGAGGACGUGGCUACUGUUUGGUUCCUUCCUCCACAUUUUCCUCGGAAGCUCAGCAGGCUGCAAUUCCAGUGGCCACAGGGGCCAGAACAGCAGGCCUUUUCCGUGGACCCUAACUCUUCCCUCUGGAUACCUUCUCUGUGCUCCCUGUGUUCCCGGCCCUGUCACCACGGGCAGCCUGACCGUGGCACCUCUGGACAAGCACGCUCCAUCAGUCCUCGACUAUAUGAGCACUGGCUGUGUUCCAGGAACUCUUCUCAUCACCAAGGAUGCAAGAAUGAACAAAACCAUUCCCUCUCCAACACGUUCCUGCUGUCCCAGGCACUGGCCCCUUUCUGCUUCACUCGCAUGGACGCAGUCACUGUGGCACUGUGACAUUGAUAAGAAUCCUUCUGUCCCCCAACUUUGGCUGCAUCUGCUGUAGUCAACUGCACCCCCAGGAAGUCCCCAGGGUCACAGCCACAGCUCCUACUGCAGCACUGUGGAUCUCAGCUGAGAAUGUCCCUCAGUCCCUGUCUCUCUGUAUAGCUUUCUCUUUCCCUGUCUAACUCCCCAUCUCUCUUACACAUACUCUCUGUCACACACACACAUACACACACACACACACACACACCCUUCCCUAUGACUGGGCCAAACCCAUGCUUCCCGGUGGAGUGUCAGCUCCCCUGUGGCCUCCUGAGAAGCCCCCACAUGCAUUCCCUGCAACGGCUGUUAAACGUACUGUCCAGAGCCAUGCCCUAGUGUUUAUUCCUUGCGCUUGGCAGAUGACCUGCCUCUGGG